rnacentral:rRNA from 1 species
AGGUGGGGAAUAUUGCAGCAAUGGGCGCCAAGCCUGGAUGCAGCCAUGCCGCGUGUGUGAAGAAGGCCUUCGGGUUGUAAAGCACUUUCAGUUGUGAGGAAAGGUUAGUCGCUAAUAUCGGCUAGCUGUGACGUUAGCAACAGAAGAAGCACCGGCUAACUCCGUGCCAGCAGCCGCGGUAAUACGGAGGGUGCGAGCGU